AAUAAAGGCCCUCCAAAGUUGGACAUUUUCCACAGAAUUGUCCCUAAGUUUCUGUGUUUGUUGCUCGUUCUUCAGGAUGUUGUAGAAACAGCGAGGAAACUCUGUGAACCACACAGUCUUUCUGGUGGAUCAAGUUCAGCAGAAGACGAUUCAAAAGCUGCAAAAACAUUUAGAUUGCCAGAGAAGUGAUGAAGACUUUCCUGAUAUUCCAGCAUCAGGUUUGAAAGAUCCAAACUGUAAAUCAUAAAGUAAAGAGGAAUGGGUCAACAGAUACUGACUGCAUCAGGUUUGGUCCUGAAGGUUUUAUUUCAACAUUCUAAUAGACUUAUGCAUUAUUGUCCAACAAGGAAGUGACUAAAAAUAGUUCACUCUGAAGAUAAUAAUAUUUUAAAG